rnacentral:rRNA from 1 species
UAGUCCACGCUGUAAACGAUGGUUACUCGAUGUCGGCGAUAUAAUGUCGGUGUCUAAGCGAAAGUGUUAAGUAAUCCACCUGGGGAGUACGUUCGCAAGAAUGAAACUCAAAGGAAUUGACGGGGGCCCGCACAAGCGGUGGAGCAUGUGGUUUAAUUCGAUGAUACGCGAGGAACCUUACCUGGGCUUAAAUGUAUUUUGACAGACUUGGAAACAAGUUUUUCUUCGGACAAUUUACAAGGUGCUGCAUGGCUGUCGUCAGCUCGUGCUGUGAGGUGUCGGGUUAAGUCCCAUAACGAGCGCAACCCCUAUCCUUAGUUGCCAGCGAGUAAUGUCGGGGACUCUAAGGAGACUGCCGGUGCAAACCGUGAGGAAGGUGGGGAUGACGUCAAGUCAGCACGGCCCUUACGUCCAGGGCUACACACGUGCUACAAUGGCAGGUACAGAGGGCAGCUACAUAGUGAUAUGAUGCGAAUCUUCAAAACCUGUCUCAGUUCGGAUCGAAGU